AGAGUGCACAUACACAUGGCCCUAGGCUGAGAAAAAUGCUGGGCGGGAUGGGCAAGAUGACAGAUCAUAUCAAUUUAUUAAUGUUUUUAUGUACAAAUAUGACAAUUAAUUAUUAUUAUUAGUAGUAAUGGUUAGUUGUUAUAUCACACAUGGCUGUCACAAAGAAGAAAGAUGAAAAGACAUGCCCCCCCAAUACAGCCCACUGCUCUUUUCCUGUUUCUUGUAAAUAAAACAUGAAAUCUUGCAAAUAAAAACUAAUUAUCACAAAAUUAUAAUAAUGAUGUACAAAUUCAGUUUGAUGAUAGAUAACAGAGAUUUUCAUUUUAUACUGUGUAUCAAUAUGACAAAUAAUUAUCAUCUUACCUUAUUUUCAUAAAUUCAGGAUCCAAAAGCAGUGCCAAGAGAAUUAAAUGUGAAGAUGGUAUUGCCUCAGAUCCUGAAUCUUGUGAAACACAGUGUGACACGUGUCCAUUGGAACAAAGUGUCAUUAGUGAAGAGAGAAGUUCCCUCAGCUACAAGAUUUUUCGCAAUUGCAGCAAAAUAAGAAAACGGCGAUAUGAACAAUCUGACAGUGAUGAAGAGCUAACAAAAACACUAGAAGAGAUGGAGAACAUAGCCAUGAAGCUCAAUAAGCCUUUAAAGAUCAAACAAGAGAAUGCUUCAAAGGAUGACAAGAAAAACAUCCACAAGGGAAAUGGUACAAGUUUCUUUUUCUUUUUUUUUUUCAAAAGUUUUUACUUAAAAAUUGGAUAUCUGUGAUAGCAAACAAUUAUAACAAGAUCAUUUACAAGUACGGUAUAUAUUCUUAAGGAUAUGUAUAGGGGAGGUGGCUAUCUUCUUUUAAGAAGUUAUAAGUGACAAAGAUGUAACUACCGGUAGAUAUACAAGUUGCAUAUCAAUAUAAAGCAUAUUUUAACAGCUUUCAUUUAAUAUCCUUAUUUUAUACAGUAAUAGUUAUGUAAGGAGAUACAGCACUUAAUAGGCUUUCUUAUCCUGAUCUUUAUACCCUAAUACUAAAACUCCACUGCAAAUGAACAUGUGUAGACAACAUGGUCUGAUAGCCCCCUUGAGCAUCAACAGAGAUGUUUCUCAAAUUCUUAAUAUGCCUUUUUACCAAAGAUAUCCAGAUAUAUAUAGUUGCUAUAUGGAAGGAGAGAAAGAGUUUAUUUUCUCAGUUCAAUAAUUGGUUGGUGUUGGUGGUGAGAGCAGGAGUCACGCUGAAUUGCCUGACCUGGAACACCUUAACUACUGAGCGGUGCGAUAAAUUGAGAAAAUACUGAGAUAGAUACUUGAGUUAGGUUAUCAAUUUUAUAAAGUCGCCAUGGAAGGAUGUCCAUUUCAGUGAACUUUCCCCACCACCCAAAUAAUUUGUUCUGUGGAGAGGACAAGAGUCAUGGUGAGAGUUGGGGUGACAGUGUAAGGCAAUUUAUUCACAAAGCAAAGUUCUG